rnacentral:rRNA from 1 species
CGUGUAGGCGGACUGUUAAGUCGGGGGUGAAAUCCCGAGGCUCAACCUCGGAAUUGCCUUCGAUACUGGCAGUCUUUGAGUCCGGGAGAGGUGAGUGGAACUCCUAGUGUAGAGGUGAAAUUCGUAGAUAUUAGGAAGAACACCAGUGGCGAAGGCGGCUCACUGGCCCGGUACUGACGCUGUGACGCGAAAGCGUGGGGAGCAAACAGGAUUAGAUACCCUGGUAGUCCACGCCGUAAACGAUGGAAGCUAGCCGUCGGACAGCUUGCUGUUCGGUGGCGCAGCUAACGCUUUAAGCUUCCCGCCUGGGGAGUACGGUCGCAAGAUUAAA